GUCCCAGGGGCGCCGCAGGAUUGCAGAACCCUAGAAAGCUUGGGCUUCUCUGAUCCUGAGAGCAGCACUUUGACCUCGCCCUCAACACUCCACCUCUCUGACUGUCACCCAAGAGGAGUAGCUUCUCCCAGCAGGCUCCGCUCCUCCCAUCGUUUCGUGCUCAAUGGCAAGGCCUUUCUUGACACUAUGCAAUCAGAUCAAAUUCAGAAGAUGAUGAGUGGAUGCAGCUACUACACUCCUUGGUUUCAAAUUUUGUGCUAGUUGAAACUGCCUCAUUGCUCUCAUUGAUUUUCUUUGUAACAGAUAAAUGCUAUUAAAUUGAAUUGCAAAAUAUAUAAUAAAAUACCACGAUUACUUGCA
rnacentral:antisense_RNA from 1 species